rnacentral:rRNA from 1 species
GGAUCAUUGCUGGAACUGUGUCCGCAAGGACACAACCCCAGAUACCCUUUGUGAACUUAUUCUUAUAUCGUUGCCUCGGCGCUGAGCUGGGGGCUUCUUUCCAAGGAGCUCUCCCAUGGUCUCUCGGGACGAUGGAGCAAGCCCGCCGGCGGCCCUUCUAAACUCUUGUUUUUAUUACGUAUCUCUUCUGAGUUAUUCAAAACAAAAUGAAUCAAAACUUUCAACAACGGAUCUCUUGGUUCUGGCAUCGAUGAAGAACGCAGCGAAAUGCGAUAAGUAAUGUGAAUUGCAGAAUUCAGUGAAUCAUCGAAUCUUUGAACGCACAUUGCGCCCGCUGGAAUUCCAGCGGGCAUGCCUGUUCGAGCGUCAUUUCACCCCUCAAGCCUUGCUUGGUGUUGGAGCACUACCGUUUGUAUAAAGCGGUAGGCUCUGAAAUUCAGUGGCGGGCUCGCUAAGACUCUGAGCGUAGUAGUUUAUCACCUCGCUUUGGAAGGAUUAGCGGUGCUCUUGCCGUAAAACCCCCCAACUUCUGAAUUUUGACCUCGGAUCAGGUAGGAAUACCCGCUGAACUUAAGCAUAUCAAUAAGCGGAGGAAAAGAAACCAACAGGGAUUGCCCUAGUAACGGCGAGUGAAGCGGCAACAGCUCAAAUUUGAAAUCUGGCUUCGGCCCGAGUUGUAAUUUGCAGAGGAUGUUUCUGGCGCGGUGCCUUCCGAGUUCCCUGGAACGGGACGCCAUAGAGGGUGAGAGCCCCGUAUGGUUGGAUACUAAGCCUGUGUGAAACUCCUUCGACGAGUCGAGUAGUUUGGGAAUGCUGCUCAAAAUGGGAGGUAAAUCUCUUCUAAAGCUAAAUAUUGGCCAGAGACCGAUAGCGCACAAGUAGAGUGAUCGAAAGAUGAAAAGCACCUUGAAAAGGGGGUUAAACAGUACGUGAAAUUGUUGAAAGGGAAGCGCUCAUGACCAGACUUGUGCUGGGCAGCUCAUCCGGGGUUCUCCCCGGUGCACUCUGCCCAGUUCAGGCCAGCAUCGAUUUUUGCUGGGGGAUAAGAACGGUAGGAACGUGGCCCUCCUUCGGGUGGGUGUUAUAGCCUGCCGUACGAUACCCUGGCGGAGAUCGAGGU